CUACGGGGGGGCUCCAGUGGGGAAUAUUGGACAAUGGGGGAAACCCUGAUCCAGCAAUGCCGCGUGUGUGAAGAAGGCCUGCGGGUUGUAAAGCACUUUCGGUUGGGAGGACUGCUUCUAGCACUAAUAUUGUUGGAAGUUGACGUUACCUUCAGAAGAAGCACCGGCUAACUCCGUGCCAGCAGCCGCUGGUAAUACGGAGGGUGCAAGCGUUAAUCGGAGUUACUGGGCGUAAAGCGCGCGUAGGCGGCUAGAUCAGUCGUGUGUGAAAGCCCCGGGCUUAACCUGGGAACUGCAUCCGAUACUGUCUAGCUUGAGUACAGGAGAGGAGAGUGGAAUUCCACAUGUAGCGGUGAAAUGCGUAGAUAUGUGGAGGGACACCAAUGGCGAAGGCAGCUCUCUGGCCUGAUACUGACGCUGAGGUGCGAAAGCGUGGGGAGCAAACAGGAUUAGAUACCCCCGUAGUC
rnacentral:rRNA from 1 species